rnacentral:lncRNA from 1 species
GAGUAUAUUGGAACCCAAUCAUUUCGUUAACGCGUUCUGGUUUCUCUUUUGUAAUGCAUUACAGAUGUACAAAAAGAAAUGUACUCGCCAUCUGAACGUUUAAAAUUUGCAACCCGCGUUGGGCUGUCGAAGAAGAUGGAGCCGUCAUACUCAUACGUAGGCAGCGCACUAAUUUUUCGCGAACAAGAUUACCAUCAGUGCAGUAUUGCCAUCUGGAUCACCGGGAAAUUAACCGGAGGCGAGCGAGUGGUACUUUUGACCAUCAAUGAGAUCGGAGCCGUGCCGUCGUCGCUGCCGGUAUUGAUGACCGGUAUAAUUGCUUAUCAGGUACAGGCUGAGCAGCAGUUCUGCAGGAGGCCACGCCGAUGUGUCGGGUUAAGUUAAGAGCAGCGUAAACAGGCGGUCAGAACAUCCGUGCUGGAGUUGGUAGAUAGAGUUGCAGCCGUUGUCGAUCGCGUCGCAGCUGGCUUCAAUUAACUCUUGUGUGACAACAGCCCAGCAGGGCCAGUAGGCCAGACACUACAGGGUCGCCAAGGCCGUGUUUACUUGAGGUUUACAGAUUGCGGGCUCCUAUCUUUCGCGGAGAACAGAGACGGAUCAAAAAGAAAGAAAGAAAAAAAUGAAUCCUACUGGAAGUCCACUUGCUCCUCCUACCUGGGUCAGCGUGAAAUAAAAAGCGAUCCUGCCUGGGUCCCGACAAUCUCGGGAUCCUGUGCUGUUCCAUCGUGGCCACAUGUAUCGGACUCAAAGAUUAAUGGCAGCCUGGCAGGCACUCCGAGUAUAUCUGAUCUUGCAUAGACGGAUUUGUUUAACGCUGCUGCUCGAUUUUGGCUGCAGAGGGCCUGAGAAGAAACGUUUAACAUUUGACAUUUUGACUUGUGCAUCACCUGUACGUGCCCGC